CACUACCCUCUCGCUCACUCGGUCUCUCUCUUCCCUCUCACUCAUCUCGCCCUCUCUCUCACUCUAUCUCACUCUUCUCUCCCACUCCGUUAGACGAAGACAAAGACGAAGGAAGACGGCAGCCACUACACACUUAUCUGCUCCUCCUCCGCUCCAACCUCCCUCAGAAUUCUCGCCGUUUCUUUGAUUCUGAAGGUCCCUUCACAUCUAUCUCUCUCAAUGUUUUGCUUUUUGCUUUAAUCGUUCAACAUAUGAUAAUUAGGGUUUUAUUUGGUGAGUGUUACAAUGACCAAUACGUUCUUCCACUAUUUUGUGACGAAGAAAUUCUGAUGGGGUCGAUUGCAAAGAAGGGGUUGCAGCAGUACUUGCUUCAGCUUCAGCAUCACCCCGAACGAAGGCAAUUACAGUGGAGGUUUUGUCAAUGAUCAGUGACAUAGUGUUGCAGAAGCUCAUCGGUAUUCAGAAACUUCAGAUAAGACGGCUCCUUCUCAAAGUGACGAAGACAAAGACGAAGGAAGACAGCAGCCACUACCCACCCAUCUGCUUCUCCUCCACUCCACCCUCCGUCGGAAUUCCUCUCUGUUUCCUCAAUUCUGAAGGAGGAAGCUUGGGGUGUGGGGAAGUUGCGGCAUCGGCGGCUUGCAAAUUUGAUUGGGUAUUGCUGUGAUGGGGAUGAGAGGCUGCUUGUUGCUGAGUACAUGCCUACUGAUACUUUGGCAAGCAUUUGUUCCACUGGGAGAAUCAAACCAUUGAGUGGGCCAUGCGUUUAAGAGUGGCUCUUUAUAUUGCUGAAGCUUUGGAUUAUUGCAGUACCGAGGGCCGCCUGUUAUACCACGAUUUAAAUGCUUAUAGGGUUCUCUUUGACUAGGAUGGUGAUCCUUGUCUUUCAUGUUUUGGCUUGAUGAAAAAUAGUAGGGAUGGGAAGAGUUACAACACAAAUCUUGCUUACACGCCACCUGAAUAUUUAAGAAAUGGAAGGGUCACUCCAGAAAGUGUUGUUUAUAGCUUUGGCACCAUCCUUCUAGAUCUGCUUAGUGGGAAGCACAUCCCUCCAAGUCAUGUAAGUGGACUGCUAUAAAUGUGUGGCAUCCACAUAAGCUUCGUUGGGCUAAUUUUUGUGUGAUGAAGGACCAGGUUGCGCAAAAUGUUUUUUGUACUAGUGAUGAAGCUGAUUUUUCUGUAGUUUUUUGCUUGGGGUUUGUAGUCAGCCACAUAAGCUUCAAAAACAUAUAAAAUAGGGAUGUGAUAUCCACACACCUUCUUUUACUUCUCUCACACCCUUUUAAUUUUUGGCCGUCAGAUCGGAUGAAUUGAAGAAGAUCAAAGGACAUAAAUUGACAAGGGAUGUGAGAGAAGUAAAAAGGAGUGUGUGGAUAACACACCCCAUAAAAUACACGUCAUUUGGACGAGUACUGAAGAACAUAUGGCUUCACAAACAUGCCUUAGCGAAUCUGUGAAAUCUGGGGUUUCUGCAGAAAAAUUGGAGAAAAAAAAAACGUGAUUUUAUGUUUAGAUUUGAGAGCUCUUUUUCUGUGAAAUCUCCUUAUUAAUUAUUUUAAAUUGAUUAUCUUCUGAUUAAUUUAUA